rnacentral:rRNA from 1 species
AUUGAACGCUGGCGGCAGGCCUAACACAUGCAAGUCGAGCGGAUGAAGGGAGCUUUCUCCUGGAUUCAGCGGCGGACGGGUGAGUAAUGCCUAGGAAUCUGCCUGGUAGUGGGGGAUAACGUCCGGAAACGGGCGCUAAUACCGCAUACGUCCUGAGGGAGAAAGUGGGGGAUCUUCGGACCUCACGCUAUCAGAUGAGCCUAGGUCGGAUUAGCUAGUUGGUGGGGUAAAGGCCUACCAAGGCGACGAUCCGUAACUGGUCUGAGAGGAUGAUCAGUCAAACUGGAACUGAGACACGGACCAGACACCUACGGGAGGCAGCAGUGGGGAAUAUUGGACAAUGGGCGAAAGCCUGAUCCAGCAAUGCCGCGUGUGUGAAGAAGGUCUUCGGAUUGUAAAGCACUUUAAGUUGGGAGGAAGGGCAGUAAGUUAAUACCUUGCUGUUUUGACGUUACCAACAGAAUAAGCACCGGCUAACUUCGUG